rnacentral:rRNA from 1 species
UCAGCAUACGCGGUUAUACAAUUAAUGCAACUUAAUAUUUUCGGAUUAAGAAAUGAUUUUAUGUGAAAUUAAUUAUUAUAUUUUUAGGUGAAAUUUUAAUAUUAUCUAUUUUUAUAUUUUAGUAUUUUCUUGAAAACUUAAUUAAAACUAGGAUUAGAUACCCUAUUAUUUUGUUUAAUUUAUUUCUAGGGUAGUAAUAUUUUUGAAACCUAAAUAAUUUGGCUGUGCUUUAAUCUAUUUAGAGGAAUCUGUCCCUUAAUCGAUAAUCCCCGUUAUAUCUAGCUUUAUUUGGUGAUCAGUCUGUAUAUUUCCGUUAUAAAUUAAUUCUUUUAGGU